rnacentral:lncRNA from 1 species
AAAAAAAAGAAGGUUAAAUGAAGACAUUUACAGACAGACAAAGUGGAGACUUUUCUACCAAUAGACUCUAACUAUAGAAACUUCAAAAGAUAAACUUCAAACAGAAUGAAAUAUAUGCCUGGAAAAUCUAAGAUGCAAGAAAGAAAGGACUCCUGUUUUUGCCAUCAUUCCUUGGCUCGAUCUACCAACUGACUCUUUCUCAAACCAGAUGCAAAUCUCUUUGACUCCUGAUGGUAUAAACUGUGGAUCUGGAGGGAUGCUGGAAAUGGUAAACACUCCUGAGAUAUCUAGAGAAGUUGAAGCAAAUAAUGAUGACGGAGCAUCGCUUCCAGUCUAAGCAGGUCUGCAGUGCCAACUCCACCUUUGGUCAAGUUGUCAUGUCGGCAUGGACCUGUUUCUGGGUCCUAUCUUUUGUGCUGUUGUGUGGUCUCCUGAAGCCAUAAAGCGAAGAGCAGAUAUGAAUUUUGUUUUCCUUUAAUAACGCAAAAUCACUGGCACUAAGUGAAGGACCU